ACACCUUUAUAAGAAGAUGAACCUUUUUAACCCACAUAACGCCUGGCUAAGGCUGUGAACACGUUAGUUAUGAAUCUUACCGCUGAUUCAGACACCAUUCUCCCUCAAAAGAGAAUGGCCAUAGAAAAAGAAAAACAUAAAGUGGCCUGAUCCCAGCACUAGCAAAACUGCAACCGGAAUGGAUGUUUAUCUGUGCAUUAUUGUAUACAUAGGUGUCAAUAUUAGAAAUCGUCAAAAUGUUAUCCUUGCCGCUCAAGGAGUGGCAACGUUCUCCUUGGCAAGAGGAGCGACCUCCUCCCCUUCAAUGCCAGGUUCACUGCCAGCAACUUCCAGGUCCAGGAGUAUUUUCUCCCACAAUCUGGCUGGUCCCUUCCAUGAAAGAUCUUGGGCCAUGCAAUUCUGGAUCAUUUCUCUAAAAGCAGCAGUGGCAUAAGUGGCAAGAGCUCUUAUGACAGUUUUAACUACCGCGGCCACAUCUGCUGAAUCAACUGUGUCACAUUCAACGUGGAAGGCCCCCAUUUGGAAUCCUGUGUUACCUUCUUUGACAGUAUCAACAAGACCACCAGUGGAAGCAACAAUGGGAACUGUUCCAUAUCGCAUAGCAUGCAACUGAAUGAGACCACAGGGCUCAAAUCUACUUGGGAUCAACAUAAAGUCAGCACCAGCUAUGAUCAUGUGCGCCAAGGGGACAUUGAAUUUUGCCACUCCUCUAGCCUUGUCAGGGUACAAUAGCUCCAGCUGUUCAAUCUGCUUUUCAAAGUCCUUUUUGCCUGUUCCAAGGAUUACUAUCUGCACAUUGUGUUCAACCAAUUGUGAAAUAGCUGCAACAAGAAUAUCUGAACCUUUCUGCUCUUCUAAUCUAAAUGAAGCCUAUCAAUGGAAUAUUCCUAUCAACAGGCAAUCCGACUUCUGCUUGAAGGGCUUCCUUCAACAAAGGUUUUGCGUCCAUAACAGUUGUGGCAUCGUAGUG
rnacentral:misc_RNA from 1 species